GGGAGAUUCAUCAAAACCAGUGUAGAGGAAGAGUUGGACAGCCCGCAACGACUAACCCUCCCCACCGGACGGUCCCUGCAGCAUAGAUGGCCUGGACCAGCUCACCCUUCCUUCCCACCGAGGGGAGUAUCUCCUGGCCAUGUUCCUCAUCUACUUCCGAAGAGCCAACCUGCGUAUGGAGGAAUAAAACACCUACUUCUUUCCAGCGCUGUUUCUUGCCAACCAGUUUGAAGAGGAUGAGAUGUUUCGACGCAAGAUCUACCCCUGGGCCCUCGGACCAAUGUGGACGGCGAUGAAGACCUUGAUGCUACACCUGCGGAACCUGCUGCUCCUCUGGAUGAGAUUCCACGCUUGGGUGACCAGAGACACCUGUGAUCGUAUCAUGGCACAAGACCCCGAGUACUGGGCAUGGAAGAGAGAGCGGAAGGAACAUCACGGCUGGGCCGUACGCUGGUACCGGAGGGAUCCUGGAGAAUACAUCCCGAGAGGCCCAUGGUGGAUCUCUCCCGCCUGCUCCGUCUGUAUCACCGAUCUGUAGCCUUGUGCCGGGGAAGAGAACACCAAGCGAAGAAGGACGAAGAAAGAAGAACAGAAUGGAUGAAGACCAAGCCGCCCCAGAUGUAUUCUUAAGGGCACGUUCC